rnacentral:sRNA from 1 species
GGAUCAAUAUGAGGUGACCCUGCCCCUCUCACCCCAUUGGUCACCAGUAUAGUGGCUUAUCUGGCUGGCUACGCAGGUAUCUUCUUCCCUUACUGCUCCAUGUGCAUCCCACCUGAAGCUAAGUUGAAGAAGAUGACCUUUCUCAAGAGAGAAGUACCAUUUUUCAGUCAAGGGUAUGCUAGUAGCUGUGCUUCUCUGCUAGAACUUCCAAACAAACUGACGGCGACGGCUUGAAUUACUUCUACAAUGACAAUGAUUACUGAUU